GACGAACGCUGGCGGCGUGCUUAACACAUGCAAGUCGAACGGUGAAGCGCUUGCCUUUUUGGUGGGUGUGGAUGAGUGGCGAACGGGUGAGUAACACGUGAGUAACCUGCCCUCUUCUUCUGGAUAACCUCAUGAAAGUGGGGCUAAUACGGGGUAUUCCGGGUCUGUCGCAUGGCGGGUUUGGGAAAGAUUGCGCCUUUGGGUGUUUUCGGUGGGGGAUGGGCUCGCGGCCUAUCAGCUUGUUGGUGGGGUGAUGGCCUGCCAAGGCGGUGACGGGUAGCCGGCCUGAGAGGGUGGACGGCCACACUGGGACUGAGACACGGCCCAGACUCCUGCGGGAGGCAGCAGUGGGGAAUAUUGCGCAAUGGGCGCAAGCCUGAUGCAGCGACGCCGCGUGAGGGAUGGAGGCCUUCGGGUUGUGAACCUCUUUCGCCAGUGAAGCAGGCCUGCUCCUGUGUGGGUGGGUUGACGGUAGCUGGAUAAGAAGCGCCGGCUAACUACGUG
rnacentral:rRNA from 1 species